GGCAUGGUGGCUCAGUGGUUAAGAGUGCCCGCCUCAUAAACGGGAGGUCGUGGGUUCGAACCCCGGCCGAGUCA
rnacentral:tRNA from 1 species